AAGACAAAAGGCGAAGUAGUUAUUUUUAUCAGUUCGAUACGAACUAAACGCACACAAGGUAGAUGCGGAAUAGGAUAGAAGCAUAACAUGAACUCGAAUUUUAGUAGAUUGUUAGAAAAUCGAAGUCACUAAAGAUUUUUAUAUGGGAGCACCAAAGAUUAAUCUGAGUUUUUCAUGGGUUGCUCUCACUAUCCUACUGCAAGAACUCACUUCACAAGUUACGCGGAAUGAGACCACCAUUGCCCAAGCUUAUGUUUAACCUUAAGUGUACACUACAAUAACUACUGAUACGUACGGUAAUCGAAUCAAAACGUGUGAACAAAGUGAUCUCAAACUUUCAAUUCUAAAAAAAUUUCUGAAUGUAUCAAAAUGUUUUCAAAAUGUUAGUAACCUACUCUUUGUGAUAUGAGUUAUACUACUUUGUAUGAAGUGACCAUAUAAAAUUCAUUUCUGAACUUGUUCUAAGGAAGAAGAUAGGAAAAAUUUGGAACCAACUUCAUCUCAACAAAAUUUGUAGUUACCAACGACUUUUCCAAGUACGCGUAAUGAAAUUGAUACCACUAUUCAAACCGAUCGAGAAAGUGUGAGAAAGGUAAGUAGAAAGGUAGUGUACAGCAGCCAUAUUUACUUUUCACGCUCCUAUGGUUCUUUGGAAAGUUUUCGUAUCUUAACAAAAGUGAAUAAAGUUAAAAAGAAAACGGGUUGGUUUGUUCGCCAUUCAUUCGUUAAUUUACUCCGUAACUUCUAUCGUACGUUUUGCUACGGCGUGCUAGACCUUCCGGUGAUUGUGAACGAAAACUUCAGCACGUACCGUUUCCAAAAUGGAUGUCAACAUUUUAGUAAACAAAAUUGAAGGUUAAACGUUUACGUAUGGACCUAAAUAUUAACCUUAAUAA